AACGCUGGCGCGUGCUUAACACAUGCAAGUCGAACGUAAGCGUUUUCUCCGGGAGUCCUUCGGGUGAAAGGAGGAAAUGACUGAGUGGCGGACGGGUGAGUAACGCGUGGGUAACCUGCCUCAUACAGGGGGAUAGCAGUUGGAAACGACUGAUAAUACCGCAUAAGCGCACGAGAUCGCAUGAUCAUGUGUGAAAAACUCCGGUGGUAUGAGAUGGACCCGCGUCUGAUUAGCUGGUUGGUGAGGUAACGGCUCACCAAGGCGACGAUCAGUAGCCGACCUGAGAGGGUGACCGGCCACAUUGGGACUGAGACACGGCCCAAACUCCUACGGGAGGCAGCAGUGGGGAAUAUUGCACAAUGGGCGAAAGCCUGAUGCAGCGACGCCGCGUGAGCGAAGAAGUAUUUCGGUAUGUAAAGCUCUAUCAGCAGGGAAGAAAAUGACGGUACCUGACUAAGAAGCACCGGCUAAAUACGUGCC
rnacentral:rRNA from 1 species